rnacentral:rRNA from 1 species
AUUGAACGCUGGCGGCAUGCCUUACACAUGCAAGUCGAACGGUAACAGGCCGCAAGGUGCUGACGAGUGGCGAACGGGUGAGUAAUACAUCGGAACGUGCCCGAUCGUGGGGGAUAACGCAGCGAAAGCUGUGCUAAUACCGCAUACGAUCUACGGAUGAAAGCGGGGGAUCGUAAGACCUCGCGCGGACGGAGCGGCCGAUGGCAGAUUAGGUAGUUGGUGGGGUAAAGGCCUACCAAGCCGACGAUCUGUAGCUGGUCUGAGAGGACGACCAGCCACACUGGGACUGAGACACGGCCCAGACUCCUACGGGAGGCAGCAGUGGGGAAUUUUGGACAAUGGGCGCAAGCCUGAUCCAGCCAUGCCGCGUGCAGGAUGAAGGCCUUCGGGUUGUAAACUGCUUUUGUACGGAACGAAAAGGUUUCUUUUAAUACAGGGAACUGAUGACGGUACCGUAAGAAUAAGCACCGGCUAACUACGUGCCAGCAGCCGCGGUAAGAC